rnacentral:lncRNA from 13 species
UUGGGGUCCAGUGAUCCCCGCUCGCUACACCUCACCAAACUGAAUCUCCAGCCCUGUGGGACCUGAUUUCUGCCCACACCAUCCAAUCUGGAAUCCCCUGGGGAGAGGAGUCUGGAGUGCCCACCUCAUGAUCUGAAGAGCCCUCCUCCUCCAGCCUACCCAAACAGAAAUGUCUGCUUAGGGAGCCACUGAAGUCAGGACCCUGGGGCUCCUGUGCUGCUUGUGGCACACAGCCUCAUUUUAUGGGUCCUCCUCAGACACCACCUCCAGCAUUUUCCUUUACUGCAGCAGCUGGCAGGAGGGCACUGACAUUGAGGCAGGUCAGCCAAGACAUGCCAAUGCGCAUGCGCAAGUGGCACGUGACAACCGUGAGCAACCACCCAUGUCUCGCAUCACAGUGACCAUUCUCGUUAUCUGGGGAACCACCGUCUGAGCGGCUUGGCAAAGCAGGAACCCUCCAUGGCAGUCCCUCAGUGUUGGGCAAUGGCCCUAUGUCUCUCAGGGUUCGUCGCCACAGACCUACGAUUUCAAUAGUUGGGCAAGUUGGAACUAGGCAGAGAAAAGCUGCAGCGGAGCUUCAGGAUUGCCCAGGGCGAUCCCCAACAAUCCCCACGAUGCUUCAGGUCUACCCAGUGUCUAAGGAACAGUGGUCUGCAUGUGGGAACAGCAACAUCUACACAAAGGCUGUGCUGCGAUUGGUGGAGAUUUCUAACAUAUUGACUGCAAAUACGCAGCAAUUGUAUGGCAGGAAAGAGUUCCUAGAGAGAGAAGACAAAGAUGGUCUAUGUUGCAGAAGAAGCCCCAAGCUCAAGACUGGAGAACUGAAUGUGCAACCUGCAAGGACAAGUUGA